rnacentral:rRNA from 1 species
UACGUAGGGUGCAAGCGUUGUCCGGAAUUAUUGGGCGUAAAGCGCGCGUAGGCGGCCCGGUAAGUCCGUUGUAAAAGUCGAAGGCUCAACCUUCGAAAGCCGAUGGAUACUGCCGGGCUAGAGUACGGAAGAGGCGAGUAGAAUUCCUGGUGUAGCGGUGGAAUGCGCAGAUAUCAGGAGGAAUACCCAUAGCGAAGGCAGCUCGCUGGGACGUUACUGACGCUGAGGCGCGAAAGCGUGGGGAGCGAACAGG